AAAAGAGGAGCGGGCGAACAUGAGUACCGUACGCAGAGAGGAACGGGGAUUCCUCGCAGGAUGCGCACGGGAAAGGGUAUCCCCGCCGAAGCGAUCCGUUUUCCCCGCGGAUCUGCUGGGUUUGCGGGAGAAUACCCGCAUUCCUGUCACCGUCCGCGGUGAAGCGCUUUUU
rnacentral:ncRNA from 1 species